rnacentral:rRNA from 1 species
AUGGCGUCCAACACUCUGCACGGCCGGCUGGUGACUCCUCUUGCUGUCGUGGUUGUCGGGAGGUUCGCCUCCCUCUUCUCAGCCUGUGCCAUGCUCGCCGGCACGCCCUUCUCUCACACACAUCUCAGUGGCCGCCGUGGUCGGGAGCGUCAAAAAUUGAGGGCAACCCAGUCUGGGAUUAUACCGUCCUCCAUGGCCAACAACGCCACAGCAGCCCGGCCGUCUAGUUGCGCUUCUUCCCGCGCUAUACCCCGGUGCACCAGCACAGCGACCCGCUGUUCGCCGCGGCCUUCCCGUCGACUUGGGGCAGCGGGGCGUUCGACCAGGGGUGGCGGCGCGGGUUGA